rnacentral:rRNA from 1 species
ACGGGCCCGAGAUUGCGUCGACGCGGAUCCCGAAAAGGGCGUCGAUCCGUCGCGACAGCGGGACGGUGGUCAUGGAAGUCGAAAUCCGCUAAGAAGCGUGUAAAAACGUACCCGCCCAACGGAUCGGCCCCGAAAAUUGAUGGCGCUCGAACGCAACCCUCGAACCCCGCCGACGGAGGCUAGGGGAGGCCCCGUCGAGUAGGCGGACGCGCGGGUCGCUUCGACGCUCCCGCGCGAGCGGGGGCGGAGCGGCCCGUGGUGCAGAUCUUGGUGGUAGUAGCGAUCACCCAGGCGAGAACCCUGAGGGCCGAAGUGGAGAAGGGUUUCUCGAGAACGGCACUCGCUCGAGAGUUAGUCGAUCCUAAGCUGCCGGCGGCAGCCACGAAACGGUCGAUCGGGCGCGAGCCCGGCAGCCACGACCGGGCAGCG